rnacentral:rRNA from 1 species
CGGGUAGAGAAUACCGAGGCGUACGAGUGAACUAUGGUUAAGGAACUCGGCAAAAUGCCCCCGUAACUUCGGGAGAAGGGGGACCACACCCGGUGAACACCCGUGCGGUGGGAGCGGGGUGGGGUGGCACAAACCAGUGAGAAGCGACUGUUUACUAAAAACACAGGUCCGUGCGAAGUCGCAAGACGAGGUAUACGGACUGACGCCUGCCCGGUGCUGGAAGGUUAAGAGGACCCGUCAACCCCGUACGGGGUGAAGCGGAGAAUUUAAGCCCCAGUAAACGGCGGUGGUAACUAUAACCAUCCUAAGGUAGCGAAAUUCCUUGUCGGGUAAGUUCCGACCUGCACGAAUGGCGUAACGACUUCUCAGCUGUCUCAACCAUAGACUCGGCGAAAUUGCACUACGAGUAAAGAUGCUCGUUACGCGCGGCAGGACGAAAAGACCCCGGGACCUUCACUACAACUUGGUAUUGGAGUUCGAUACGGUUUGUGUAGGAUAGGUGGGAGACUGUGAAGCGGCCACGCCAGUGGUUGUGGAGUCGUUGUUGAAAUACCACUCUGACCGUAUUGGGCCUCUAACCUCGAACCCUGAACCGGGUUCAGGGACAGUGCCUGGCGGGUAGUUUAACUGGGGCGGUUGCCUCCUAAAAUGUAACGGAGGCGCCCAAAGGUUCCCUCAACCUGGACGGCAAUCAGGUGUCGAGUGCAAGUGCACAAGGGAGCUUGACUGCGAGACGAACAUGUCAAGCAGGGACGAAAGUCGGGACUAGUGAUCCGGCACCCCCGAGUGGAAGGGGUGUCGCUCAACGGAUAAAAGGUACCCCGGGGAUAACAGGCUGAUCUUCCCCAAGAGUCCAUAUCGACGGGAUGGUUUGGCACCUCGAUGUCGGCUCGUCGCAUCCUGGGGCUGGAGCAGGUCCCAAGGGUUGGGCUGUUCGCCCAUUAAAGCGGCACGCGAGCUGGGUUUAGAACGUCGUGAGACAGUUCGGUCUCUAUCCGCCGCGCGCGUCAGAAGCCUGAGGAAACCUGUCCCUAGUACGAGAGGACCGGGACGGACGAACCUCUGGUCCACCAGUUGUCCCACCAGGGGCACCGCUGGAUAGCCACGUUCGGACAGGAUAACCGCUGAAAGCAUCUAAGCGGGAAACCCCCUCCAAGACCAGGCUUCUCACCCUUUUAGAGGGAUAAGGCCCCCCGCAGACCACGGGAUCAAUAGACCAGACCUACACGCCCCGCAAGGGGUUCAGGGAACUGGCACUAACCGGCCGAAAACUUACCCAA